rnacentral:rRNA from 1 species
AUUGAACGCUGGCGGCAGGCCUAAUACAUGCAAGUCGAACGGUAACAUAAAAGAAGCUUGCUUCUUUGAUGACGAGUGGCGGACGGGUGAGUAAUAUUUGGGAAACUACCUGAUAGAGGGGGACAACAGUUGGAAACGACUGCUAAUACCGCAUAUAGCCUGAGGGUGAAAGCAGCAAUGCGCUAUCAGAUGUGCCCAAACGGGAUUAGCUAGUAGGUGAGGUAAAGGCUCACCUAGGCGACGAUCUCUAGCUGGUCUGAGAGGAUGAUCAGCCACAUUGGGACUGAGACACGGCCCAGGCUCCUACGGGAGCAGCAGUAGGGAAUAUUGCACAAUGGAGGAAACUCUGAUGCAGCCAUGCCGCGUGUGUGAAGAAGG